UCCACACUAUAACAAAAAGGACUUGAUGUCAAAAACACUUUGCAGCUGAGAGAUCCACACAACAACAAAGGAUUUGCUGUCAAAAACACUUUGCUAAACUCUAGAUCAGUUGGUAAGGAUAAUGCAGAAUAUAUGCAAGGUUCAGGUUCGAACCCCGGAAACCAAAAAAAAAAACCACUUUGCUCAACUCUAGCAUUGUUGCUGGGCGCGAUUUUCACUUCAACUCUAGCUUGAUCCUCUU
rnacentral:lncRNA from 1 species